rnacentral:rRNA from 1 species
UAACAAGGAUUCCCCUAGUAACUGCGAGUGAAGCGGGAAAAGCUCAAAUUUGUAAUCUGGCGGCCUGUGUGGUCGUCCGAGUUGUAAUUUAGAGAAGCGUCGCCCGCGCCGGACCGUGUACAAGUCUCCUGGAAUGGAGCGUCAUAAAGGGUGAGAAUCCCGUCCAUGACACGGACUACCGGGGCUUUGUGGUGCGCUCUCGACAAGUCGAGUUGUUUGGGAAUGCAGCUCAUAAUGGGUGGUAAAUUCCAUCUAAAGCUAAAUGUUGGCGAGAGACCGAUUGCGAACAAGUACCGUGAGGGAAAGAUGAAAAGAACUUUGGAAAGAGAGUUAAACAGUACGUGAAAUUGUCAAAAGGGAAACGAUUGAUGUCAGUCGCGUCCUUCAGGGAUCAACCUGGCCUUCACGGGCCUGGCGUACUUCCUGUCGGACGGGUCAGCAUCAGUUUUGACCGGUGUUGAAAGGCUUAGGGAAUGUGGCACCUUCGGGUGUGUUAUAGCCCUUGGUCGCAUGCAUCGGUCGGGACUGAGGAACUCAGCGCGCCCGCAAGGGCCGGGUCUUCGGACCACGUCCGCGCUUAGGAUUGCUGGCAUAAUGGCCUUAAUCGACCCGUCUUGAAACACGGACCAAGGAGUCUAACAUGCCCACGAGUGUUUGGGUGGCAAACCCGGACGCGCAAUGAAAGUGAAAGUUGAGACACCUGUCGUGGGUGGCAUCGACGCCCGGCCCUGACGUUCUCUGACGGUGCUGCGGUAUAGCGUGUAUGUUGGGACCCGAAAGAUGGUGAACUAUGCCUGAAUAGGGUGAAGCAAGAGGAAACUAUGGUGGAGUCUUGUAGCGAUUUUGACGUGCAUAUCAAUUGUCGAAUUUGGGUAGAGGGGCGAAAGACUAAUCGAACCAUCUAGUAGCUGUUC